ensembl:lncRNA
ACCGCUUGAAGAAAUCAAAAGUCAGCAUCUAAUUCAGGCUAUUGUGUAUUUACUUAGUAACAUAUUUUGUCUAUCAUAAUUCUCGUCUCGAGACUUUAGCUCCGCGUAUGUCAUAAAAAUUAUCAUAAUAAUGUUUGUUGUUCAGGAGCUCCCUGUGCUACUCAGGUCAUAUUUCUGAUGGAAAAAAAAUAUAGAAUUGGUCAUUCUUUCUAAAUGUGAUAUAUACUGUGACCACAAAUAAACAGAAACAGACGCGAUUGAAUAAGUAGACUAUAUGUCCUCUUUCUUUUGUGAAAUAACGGUUCAUAUUGCUUUAUUACUGUGUGACUAAUUUUCAGUCCUGAUAAAUUAAUUCAUUAUGAUCAUUGUAUCACUUAUUACUGUAAAACAUAGAUGCCUUUGGAUUUAAAUCUUUAACAAAGCAUGCAAACAAACGGCCGCCUUUAUCAGCUUCAUUUUGUGAUCAUGCUAGUUCCAGUAAGUUACUUAUUUCUGAUUAGUUUUCUAAUAACUUCAAUUUCUUGGUGAAAUGAUGGAGUUGCGUGACGUUGUUCCAAAGAGGCAUGUAAAAGGGCGGGUUUUAGUGAAGCGCUGUGGAGCUUCUAGCCAGACAGUGGAAAUGCAUCGUGAUUUUGGGCUCAGUGCUACAGAUCUGAGGCUAUUAGUCCUGUCCGGCCCAUUGAAAACACUGGCUCACACUGGCCCGACAGUGGAAAAGCGGCUAUUAAGAUGCAUUACAGUAGCGGCCAUUUUGAAAAAAAUUUCAUUAUAACUUUUGACCACAAGGUGGUGCUGCCCCCAAACUUUUGGAGUAGCAUGAGGUUAUGGAGCUGAAGAUUUUUGUAAUUGGUUUGCGUAACAAUAUGUUAAUGCGUUUGUAAAAUACAGCAUUUUAGAAUAUAAUUCAAAAUGGCCGACGCCCAAAAUGGCCGAUAUGAGAAAAUUGGAUAUGGUUCGAAUCAGCAUGAUCCACUGAAUCUAAAGAGACCAGUUGUGAUUUUUGGUCAAACAAUUCUGAAGUUAUAAGCAAAAAUAUGCAUUUUACAUAUCUCCUGACCACUAGGUGGCACUGUGCCAAAACACUGUAGGUAGCCUGAGGUCAUACUUGUAAUAACACACACCAAGUUUGGUUUCAAUACGCCAAACUGUUUCGGGGAUAUAGCCUCCAUUUUUGCGUGAUUUUUGUCGGUUGGACAAAUCAACUUGAAUUUCAUAAAGUUUUGUCAGCGCCUUCUGAAGAUGAUCUGAGCCAAUUUUCGUGAAAAUCGGACUAACCGUCUAGGACGAGUUUGAAAAUUUAGGUUUUUCUCAAACAAUUGAAAAUAGCGAAAAAAAUAAACCUUGCGAUUUUUUAAUUGAAAAAAAAAAUCAAACUUUGGAAAAGUGGUGGCGCUAGAAAGCUGGAGUUAGAGUCUCCAAAUUUGCUAUGGUUAAUGUUGAGACUGUCCUCUAUCAGUGUGCCAAAUUUCACAACUUUCCCGCAAGCGGUUCUAUGGGCUGCCAUAGACUUUUGGCGAAAGAAGAUGAAGAAGAAGAAAUAUAGCUGCAAGCAGCAAUUACAGGCCCAAGCACUAAACAAGCAAGCUUCAGACCAAUGACAGGAAUGAGUAAUUAAAACCAUUUUAAGUUUAUUUUAGGCAAAACGGCUGAAAAAUCAUUAAUACAACCACUAGUAAUAUGAUUUAUUGGCUUUUCACUUUUGACCAAUAGGUGGCGCUAUAAUCAAGUUAAUGUGGCAUGCUUAGUGUGAGGUGACAAUGGCACAUACAAAGUUUGGUGUAAAAAUGUCAAAUAUUUGCAGAGACACAGACUGAGAUGCAGUUUGGCACUGCCUAAAAUUUGCAGCGGCAUACAAAUCCAUAACUUUUUGGCAGCACAGUCUGAAGAUCAUCUGUCUCUAUUUUUGUGAAAAUUGGAAAAGUUGACAAGGAGUUGAAAAAAGUAGGUUUUCAACAUAAAUCAAAAUGGCCGACAGGAAGUUCGGCUUACUCUGGUAUAUUUGGUACCUAUGUUGUCAGCAUAAACCAACGGAUAUUUUGAGACCAGUUUCAUUACAAUAGGUCAAUGCAAUCAAAAGUUAUUAGCAUCUUUGGAAAUGUAAUUAUUAAUAGUUAAUAGGGGGCACUGUGCUGAAACACUGCAGGUAGUCUCAGGUCCUAUUUAUUAUAACACACAGCAAGUUUGGUCUCAAUAAGCCAAACCAUUGUGGAGAUAUAGCCUCACAUCCAUUUUAGGUGCUUUUCAUAGAAUUUCUUUGUGCAUUAUUGGAGAAGGGUGGGACAAAUCUACUUGAAUUCCAUAACUUUUUGCCAGCAUGGUCUGAAGAUGAUCUGAACAAUUUUGGUGAAAAUCAGAUGAACCGUCUAGGAUGAGUUCGAAAAUGUAGGUUUUUCGAACAAUAAAAAACUAAACCUUGCGAUUUUUUAAUUUAGGUAUUCAUUCGACUCGGUAAGAGCCAAGGAUUCAGUGAUUUUUUUUUUCCUUCUGUGCCUUAUGUUUCAAAAGUUAUUAGCUUAUAGAAAUUUACAUUUUGGACAAGUGGUGGCGCUAGAGAGUUGGAGUUAGAGACUCCAAAUUUGCUAUGGUGUCUUUUCUCACUGUCCUCUAUCCGUGUGCCAAAUUUUACAACUUUCUCACAAGCGGUUCUAUGGGCUGCCAUAGACUUUGCGGCAUUACAGCAUUUUAGAACAUAAUUCAAAAUGGCUGACGCCCAAAAUGGCUGACAUGGGAAAAUUGUAUCAUUCGACUCAACAUGAUGCACCCAAUCUAAAGAGACCAGUUUUGUGAUUUGUGGCCAAACCAUUCUGAAUUUACAAACCCAAUUCCAAAAAAGUUGGGACACUGUACAAAUUGUGAAUAAAAACAGAAUGCAAUGAUGUGGAAGUUUCAAAUUUCAAUAUUUUAUUCAGAAUACAACAUAGAUGACAUAUCAAAUGUUUAAACUGAGAAAAUGUAUCAUUUUAAGGGAAAAAUAAGUUGAUUUUAAAUUUCAUGGCAUCAACACAUCUC